GAUGAACGCUAGCGGCGGGCUUAAUACAUGCAAGUCGAGGGGUAGCAAGAUUGUAGCAAUACAAUUGUUGACGACCGGCAAACGGGUGCGGAACACGUACACAACCUUCCUACAAGUGGGGAAUAGCCCAGAGAAAUUUGGAUUAAUACCCCGUAACAUAGCGAUGUGGCAUCACAUUGCUAUUAUAGCUUCGGCGCUUUGUGAUGGGUGUGCGGCUGAUUAGAUAGUUGGCGGGGUAACGGCCCACCAAGUCUACGAUCAGUAGCUGAUGUGAGAGCAUGAUCAGCCACACGGGCACUGAGACACGGGCCCGACUCCUACGGGAGGCAGCAGUAAGGAAUAUUGGACAAUGGACGCAAGUCUGAUCCAGCCAUGCCGCGUGAAGGAUUAAGGUCCUCUGGAUUGUAAACUUCUUUUAUAAGGGACGAAAAAAGGUCUUUCUAGAUCGUCUGACGGUACCUUAUGAAUAAGCACCGGCUAACUCCGUGCCAGCCGCCGCAGUAAAAC
rnacentral:rRNA from 1 species